rnacentral:rRNA from 1 species
AACGUUUCUUCGGAAACGUAUAAUUAGCGGCGGACGGGUGAGUAACACGUGGGUAACCUGCCUGUAAGACUGGGAUAACAUUCGGAAACGAAUGCUAAUACCGGAUACGCGGCUUGGUCGCAUGACCGAGCCGGGAAAGAUGGAGCAAUCUAUCACUUAUAGAUGGACCCGCGGCGCAUUAGCUAGUUGGUGAGGUAACGGCUCACCAAGGCGACGAUGCGUAGCCGACCUGAGAGGGUGAUCGGCCACACUGGGACUGAGACACGGCCCAGACUCCUACGGGAGGCAGCAGUAGGGAAUCUUCCGCAAUGGACGAAAGUCUGACGGAGCAACGCCGCGUGAGUGAUGAAGGUUUUCGGAUCGUAAAGCUCUGUUGCCAGGGAAGAAUGCUUGGGAGAGUAACUGCUCUCAAGGUGACGGUACCUGAGAAGAAAGCCCCGG